GGAUGAAGCAAUUCACAAUCUCAUCUUCACCAUGGGAUUCAACGCCUACGGUGGUUUCAGUCUCUUCUUCCCGGUUCUACUCGAUCGGAUACUCAACGACAAAACCGGUUUACAACAGAGAAUCCUCGAGGAAGUCAAGGCAAAAACCGGCUCCGGUCUGACAUUCGAGUCAGUCAAGGAGAUGGAUCUCAUCUACUCCGUCGUUU
rnacentral:misc_RNA from 1 species